rnacentral:lncRNA from 1 species
UCGUUACCCGAGCCCAGCGCCGGGCCAAUGUCCUAUCUCAGGGUUUCCCACGUCGCUCGCUCCUUGACGGCUGACCGACACUGGGUCUGAGGUGUAAGCGCUUUCCAGGCCCUUCCCUGGGGCUUGGAGGGGAAUGGCGCAAAGGACUUUUCUUACAAGCAGAGCCACUGCAGUUACCAAAGAGUAUGUCGCUUAUUGUCUAAGAGGUUGGACUCCUGAAAGCCUGGACAGUGUCAUCAUCUUCACCUGAAGAGUGGAAAAAUUCAAGCAAAGAGUUUCUCAGGAAAUGACCAAGUAAAACAUCUGGAGUAAGUCAGCAGGAUUCACAGUGACUCCCCCCAACCAGCUGGUGGUGUUUCUCUCUGAAAGCAGCGCUUGGUACCAGUGUGAACUCUCUUCCUUCAGAAGUCUCAUCAGGUGUUUCAGAUGAGUUCUCCGGAAUUUGGACCUCCUACUCUUGGGUUGAAGGUGGACGUAAUACGAGGGUCUGGUCCCCCAUACCUUGAGGACUCCGCUGCCAUCUGACAAUUACAGACAAUCCAAUUGUCCUCAUCCUUGAGGACUCUGCUGCCAUCUGACAAUUAGAGACAGUCCAAAACAUGCCACACUUUGAUCCUAAACACAUUCCUGGCUUUGGUCACUUUUGAAAAGUUCCUGAGUUAUGAGAAAUCAAUAAUAAGAGUGUUCAAAACCUGAACACUCUUUUUAGAAAUACCUGCUGGAACUACAUAUAUGAUUUAUGGGGUACUGUCUUGUAGUAUCUGGGAAAGUAGACCCAUCUAACCUGGAAUGAUCAUAGGCAACAAUGACCAAAAAUGGGGAUCUUUUGAUAUACCUAAAGUAAUUUAUUUGUGCACACCAUUGGAAAGAGCUGGUUUUAGAACCAGACAUGUAAAUAAGAGACUGACUUCCACUGGCACCUAAAAACUUCUAAAAGAAAUCCUGAAAGAAAAAGUCACCUUCAUUCAAGAGGAAAUUCAUAGAAUAGGACCCUGACAAGUACUCUUGAAUACAGGUUUCUGAUAACUUUGGAGAUCAUAUCAUUGGACUAAGUAACAACUUUCAGGUAUGUAAUAAACUGAUGUGUUCCUUAGAUUGCUAACUCAACAUCAAGCAGAACACGAAUUAAUUACAUGUGACUGAACUGACAGAAGACUGAAAAGAUUUGCUGACUUUUUAUUUAAAACAUUGCUGGUUUUUUUUUUUAUUUUGUCUUCCAGAGUCAAGAAAACUUUUUUUCCUUGAGCUAUUUAUUUAUACUUUAUAACAAUUGGGUAAAAAUACCUUUGUGAACAACAUUGAAACAUCUGCCUUUCUCUCUACCUGAUUACUCCAAAAUUUGGAAACUAUUCAUGAGUACUCUUAUUUUAUGGCAAUCUAGUUAUUUGCAUACAUUUAAUAAGAAUCUUUUUUCUGUAACAGGAUAUAAUUGGAGACACUUGUUAUUUUACUAAGGAUUUGACUGGAAUGACAUAUUUUCAGAUAUGACCAGACUGCUUUGAAGAAUGGAGGUUGACUCUAUAGAGGCAAUUAGAAAGCCUCUUGGAAAGACUGGCCUGGUCCCUUGUCUACGUAGUUCCCUUUCAAGAUUUCUGUCCUGUGUUAAGUAAAGAAUGUCACUUUCUGACAGGCCUGGGAACCUCAAAAUAUUUCCGCUGUGUAUCUCUCAUUGUUUUAUUUCUUCUGAGAAAACUAAAUUCAUGGUACACUGAAGAGGUGAUUCCACAAGUGAUGGCAGCUAUAAAUCAAUGACUGGUAGGACUACCUGGGCAUGAGCCUUUCUGGCAAUGAGGGAUACCUUGACACUCAGAUUUUGAUCAUCAGUGCUUUCAAAAGGAAAGAUUUUUGAUCAAAAGGAAGAAAUGAGAAAAAGAACUUUUAUCUGAAGAAUGCAAGUCCUUUCCAAUUAUCAGAUCCAGAGAGGUAUUAAAAUGAGACGGCAAUCCUGUCCUACACACACCCCCUUUUGAGGCAUGUACUCAUCUUUUUAUACUGCUUACUAUUGCCACAAGUAGCUGAAAAUUAGCCUACUGGUGCUGCACCAGACAUUAUAACCCAUAUCCUAUAGCUUAAUAAUGGAUAGCCAAUCAACAGCUUAUGUUAUGUUAAUGUAAAUUAUUGGUAAAUAACUCAGGAACUGCCUCUUCUUUCCUUUUAAAAACCCACUUGUGGGCCGGGCGUGGUGGCUCACGCCUGUAAUCCCAGCAUUUUGGGAGGCCAAGGUGGGCGGAUCACAAGGUGAGGAGAUCAAGACCAUCCUGGAUAACACAGUGAAACCCUGUCUCUACUAAAAAUACAAAAAAUUAGCCGGGCGUGGUGGCGGGCACCUGUAGUCCCAGCUACUCGGGAGGCUGAGGCAGGAGAAAGGCGUGAACCCAGGAAGCAGAGCUUGCAGUGAGCUGACAUGGCACCACUGCACUCCAGCCCGGGCAACAGUGCGAGGCCCUGUCU